rnacentral:rRNA from 1 species
AGCGAACGCUGGCGGCAUGCCUUACACAUGCAAGUCGAACGGCAGCACGGGAGCUUGCUCCUGGUGGCGAGUGGCGAACGGGUGAGUAACAUAUCGGAACGUACCCAGUCGUGGGGGAUAACUAUCCGAAAGGAUAGCUAAUACCGCAUACGUCCUGAGGGAGAAAGCGGGGGAUCGCAAGACCUCGCGCGAUUGGAGCGGCCGAUAUCGGAUUAGCUAGUUGGUGGGUAAAGGCUCACCAAGGCGACGAUCCGUAGCGGGUCUGAGAGGACGACCAGCCACACUGGAACUGAGACACGGUCCAGACUCCUACGGGAGGCAGCAGUGGGGAAUUUUGGACAAUGGGGGGCAACCCUGAUCCAGCAAUGCCGCGUGAGUGAAGAAGGCCUUCGGGUUGUAAAGCUCUUUGUCAGGGAAGAAACGGUUGUGGCUAAUAUCCAUGGCUAAUGACGGUACCUGAAGAAUAAGACACCGGCUAACUACGUGCCAGCAGCCGCGGUAAU